rnacentral:rRNA from 1 species
UACGUAGGGUGCGAGCGUUGUCCGGAAUUAUUGGGCGUAAAGAGCUCGUAGGCGGUGUGUCGCGUCGGCCGUGAAAACCUGCAGCUUAACUGUGGGCUUGCGGUCGAUACGGGCAUCACUGGAGUUCGGCAGGGGAGACUGGAAUUCCUGGUGUAGCGGUGAAAUGCGCAGAUAUCAGGAGGAACACCGGUGGCGAAGGCGG